AAUGAGCGCGAUAAGGGCAUUCGGUGGAUGCCUUGGCACCAGGAGGCGAUGAAAGACGUGGCACGCUGCGAAAAGCCAUGGGGAGCCGCGAGCAGGCUUUGAUCCGUGGAUAUCUGAAUGGGGCAACCCACCCAGCGAUGGGUAUCAUGUUCUGAAUACAUAGGGGCAUGAGGCGAACCCGGGGAACUGAAACAUCUAAGUACCCGGAGGAAAAGACAUCAAUUGAGAUUCCGCUAGUAGUGGCGAGCGAACGCGGAACAGGCCCGUGAUUGUUGCAGAAGAAGCAGAACGGAAUGGAAAGUCCGGCCAUAGAGGGUGAUAGCCCCUUAUGCGUAGUGUCUGUGAUGA
rnacentral:ncRNA from 1 species